AAUCCAUAGGUUAAUGAGGCGAACCGGGGGAACUGAAACAUCUAAGUACCCCGAGGAAAAGAAAUCAACCGAGAUUCCCCCAGUAGCGGCGAGCGAACGGGGAGGAGCCCAGAGCCUGAAUCAGCAUGUGUGUUAGUGGAAGCGUCUGGAAAGGCGCGCGAUACAGGGUGACAGCCCCGUACACAAAAGCGCAUGUGCUGUGAGCUCGAUGAGUAGGGCGGGACACGUGGUAUCCUGUCUGAAUAUGGGGGGACCAUCCUCCAAGGCUAAAUACUCCUGACUGACCGAUAGUGAACCAGUACCGUGAGGGAAAGGCGAAAAGAACCCCGGCGAGGGGAGUGAAAAAGAACCUGAAACCGUGUACGUACAAGCAGUGGGAGCACCCUUUGGGUGUGACUGCGUACCUUUUGUAUAAUGGGUCAGCGACUUAUAUUCUGUAGCAAGGUUAACCGAAUAGGGGAGCCGGAGGGAAACCGAGUCUUAACCGGGCGUUAAGUUGCAGGGUAUAGACCCGAAACCCGGUGAUCUAGCCAUGGGCAGGUUGAAGGUUGGGUAACACUAACUGGAGGACCGAACCGACUAAUGUUGAAAAAUUAGCGGAUGACCUGUGGCUGGGGGUGAAAGGCCAAUCAAACCGGGAGAUAGCUGGUUCUCCCCGAAAGCUAUUUAGGUAGCGCCUCGUGAAUUCAUCUCCGGGGGUAGAGCACUGUUUCGGCUAGGGGGCCAUCCCGGCUUACCAACCCGAUGCAAACUGCGAAUACCGGAGAAUGUUAUCACGGGAGACACACGGCGGGUGCUAACGUCCGUCGUGAAGAGGGAAACAACCCAGACCGCCAGCUAAGGUCCCAAAGUCAUGGUUAAGUGGGAAACGAUGUGGGAAGGCCCAGACAGCCAGGAUGUUGGCUUAGAAGCAGCCAUCAUUUAAAGAAAGCGUAAUAGCUCACUGGUCGAGUCGGCCUGCGCGGAAGAUGUAACGGGGCUAAACCAUGCACCGAAGCUGCGGCAGCGACACUGUGUGUUGUUGGGUAGGGGAGCGUUCUGUAAGCC
rnacentral:rRNA from 2 species